CUAAACAUUCUGACAACAAUGUGCUGUGUGUACCCUUUGCCAGUUGGCAUAAAGAGGCUUUUAGGAUCACAAACAGGAAAGGUCAAAAAAGACUCCCAGCACGAGACCUUAAGAAAAGCCAACAGCCGGCCCAGUGUGGAGGAAAUAACUAUGGCAAGAAUUUAACCCUCUUUCUGCCUGGAGAGAUAUUAGCAACAAAGGGCUAUUGAAACUAUUUGCAAGGAAGGGAUCCUGCAAGCACCUCAGUCUUCUGCCUCAGCAUUUCUCUCCAGACUUCUAUCUUCCCAUUCAUAUGCUGAGAUUCCUCCAGAGAGUUUUCUUUCAGGCUCCUAAAGUGCUUGUUACGCUGGAAGGUUUUAAUGACCGUCUUACAUCUAGAAGAAAUCACAGACCUCCUUAAAACUGAUAGACUUGCCACUCACCUUUCAUUUAGCCUGAAACAUCAGAAACCAUUGCCCAAGGCACUGGGCUACAAAGGAAGACCUGAGCAAGCACUCACACAGAGAGAAUAAGAGAGGUUCCCUAGAGACUGAUUGCAA